rnacentral:rRNA from 1 species
CCCUUAGAUGUUCUGGGCUGCACGCGUGCUACAAUGGCGUUUCCAGCAAGUCUGCGAACCCGAGAGGGCCAGCGGAUCUUCGAAUUGGCGUCGUGAUCGGGACAGUCGAUUGCAAUUAUUUGACUCAAACGAGGAAUUCCUUGUAAUCGCGAUUCAUCAUAUCGCGCUGAAUACGUCCCUGCCCUUUGUACACACCGCCCGUCGCUCCUACCGUUUGAGCGAUCCGGUAAAUGUUUUGGAUUGGUGCCGGGGCGGCUAGCUGCCGGUCGCUACGAAAUUUUGUGAACCUUAUCGCUUAGAGGAAGGAAAAGUCGUAACA